ensembl:misc_RNA Metazoa_SRP Metazoan signal recognition particle RNA
GCUGGGCGUGGUGGCGUGUGCCUGUAAUCCCAGCUACUCGGGAGGCUGAGGCAGGAGAAUCACUUGAACCCAGGAGGCGGAGGUUGCAGUGAGCCGAGAUGGCACCACUGCACUCCAGCUUGGGCAAUAGAGUGAGACUCUGUCUCAA